CGUGCCGGGGCGGGGCGUAGUAGGGACUGGGCCUGGCCUAGGGCGUCCUCGCGAAGCCUGGACCUGUCAGGCGGUGCCGUCCGGGUCUCGGCCACCGUCGAGUUCCAUCGAGUUCUGUCCCGGCCCUGCUCACAGCAGCGCCCUCCGAGCGCCCAGCACCUGCGGCCGGCCCAGGCAGCGCGAUCCUGCGGCGGCUGGCCAUCCCGGAUGCUAUGGCCGCCGUCGCCGUCUUGCGGGCUUUCGGGGCAAGGGGGCCCAUGUGUCUCCGGCGCGGCCCCUGGGCCCAGCUCCCCGCCCGCUUCUGCAGCCGGGACCCGGCCGGGGCGGGGCGGCGGGAGCCGGAGCCGCGGCCCACCAGCGCGCGGCAGCUGGACGGCAUAAGGAACAUUGUCUUGAGCAAUCCCAAGAAGAGGAACGCGUUGUCACUUGCAAUGCUCAAGUCUCUCCAAAGUGACAUUCUUCAUGACGCUGACAGCAACGAUCUGAAAGUCAUUAUCAUCUCGGCUGAGGGGCCUGUGUUUUCUUCUGGGCAUGAUUUAAAGGAGCUGACAGAGGAGCAAGGCCGUGAUUACCAUGCCGAAGUAUUUCAGACCUGUUCCAAGGGUCUCGCUCUGUCACCCAGGCUGGAUUACUGUGGCAUGGUCUCGGCUCACUGCAAUCUCUGCCUCCCGGGUUCAAGCAAUUCUUCUGCCUCAGCCUCCUGAGUAGCUGGGACUACAGGUCAUGAUGCUCAUCCGGAACCACCCCGUCCCCGUCAUUGCCAUGGUCAAUGGCCUGGCCACGGCUGCCGGCUGUCAACUGGUUGCCAGCUGCGACAUUGCCGUGGCGAGCGACAAGUCCUCUUUUGCCACUCCUGGGGUGAACGUCGGGCUCUUCUGUUCUACCCCUGGGGUUGCCUUGGCAAGAGCAGUGCCUAGAAAGGUGGCCUUGGAGAUGCUCUUUACUGGCGAGCCCAUUUCUGCCCAGGAGGCCCUGCUCCACGGGCUGCUUAGCAAGGUGGUGCCAGAGACGGAGCUGCAGGAGGAGACCAUGCGGAUAGCGAGGAAGAUUGCGUCACUGAGCCGCCCGGUGGUGUCCCUGGGCAAAGCCAUCUUCUACAAGCAGCUGCCCCAGGACCUGGGGACGGCUUACUACCUCACCUCCCAGGCCAUGGUGGACAACCUGGCCCUGCGGGACGGGCAGGAGGGCAUCACAGCCUUCCUCCAGAAGAGAAAACCCGUCUGGUCACACGAGCCAGUGUGAGUGGAGGCAGAGGAGUGCGGCCCACGGGCAACGCCCAGGAGCCCACCCUCCCCUCUGACCCCAGCCCCACCACUGCCUCUCAGCUUCAACAGGCGACAGACGAGCUGCUUUUGUGACUUGAUAUUGGUGUCACAGCAUUUGGCCUACAUUAAAAGCCACGAUUUCAUGGGGAAAGGACAAAAUGGAGAGUGACUGAGGUGCUGACCUCAGUGCAAGGCUGGUGAGCCCUGCAGCAGGCCAGCUAUGGCGGGAAGCCUGGCAUUUGGGGUGCUCCUUACAACGUCUUAAGCAAGCGACCCCCCUGACAUAGCAGAAGGUGGCAACCCAUGGAGGCAAGAAAGAAGGACGCCAGCCUGACCCUUAUCCAAAACGUCCUCCUAAGCGGAGUUAAUCCUGGCUGCUCAGGAGAGGUAACACAUUUCAAAUCUCCACGAGAUAUUCUCCACGCAGAAAAUCUUCUUGAUUCUAUAGAGACGUAAUCAUGCCUAUGGCUUUGAAUAAUCUUAUGUGAUUUAAAUAAAUUAAAUCUUUAUAGAGA
rnacentral:sRNA from 1 species